rnacentral:rRNA from 1 species
CCUACGGGUGGCAGCAGUGAGGAAUAUUGGUCAAUGGGCGUAAGCCUGAACCAGCCAAGUCGCGUGAGGGAUGAAGGUUCUAUGGAUCGUAAACCUCUUUUAUAAGGGAAUAAAGUGUGGGACGUGUCCUAUUUUGUAUGUACCUUAUGAAUAAGGAUCGGCCAACUCCGUGCCAGCAGCCGCGGUAAUACGGAGGAUCCGAGCGUUAUCCGGAUUUUAUGGGUUUAAAGGGUGCGUAGGCGGCCUUUUAAGUCAGCGGGGAAAGUCGGUGGCUCAACCCUAGUAUUGCCGUUGAAACUGGUGGGCUUGAGUAUGUUUGAGGCAGGCGGAAUGCGUGGUGUAGCGGUGAAAUGCUUAGAUAUCACGCAGAACCCCGAUUGCGAAGGCAGCAUGCCAAGCCAUGACUGACGCUGAUGCACGAAAGCGUGGGGAUCAAACAGGAUUAGAUACCCUUGUAGUC